UGCGUAGGUGGCGAAGUAAGUCGGAUGUGAAAUCUCCGAUCUCAACUUGGAAACUGCAUUGGAAACUACUUUGCUUGAGGGUUGGAGGGGGGACUGGAAUACUUGGUGUAGCAGUGAAAUGCGUAGAUAUCAAGUGGAACACCAGUGGCGAAGGCGAGUCCCUGGACAACUCCUGACACUGAGGCACGAAAGCUAGGGGAGCAAACAG
rnacentral:rRNA from 1 species